CUCAGUUCGGAUCGGGGUCUGCAACUCGACCCCGUGAAGUCGGAGUCGCUAGUAAUCGCAGAUCAGCAACGCUGCGGUGAAUACGUUCCCGGGCCUUGUACACACCGCCCGUCACGUCAUGAAAGUCGGUAACACCCGAAGCCAGUGGCCUAACCCUCGGGAGGGAGCUGUCGAAGGUGGGAUCGGCGAUUGGGACGAAGUCGUAACAAGGUAGCCGUACCGGAAGGUGCGGCUGGAUCACCUCCUUUCUAAGGAG
rnacentral:rRNA from 1 species